rnacentral:rRNA from 1 species
CCCUUAGAUGUUCUGGGCCGCACGCGCGCUACACUGAUCGGUGCAACAAGCAUCCGUCCUUGGCCGACAGGCCCGGGCAAUCUUUGAACGCCGGUCGUGAUGGGGAUAGACCUUUGCAAUUUUUGGUCUUCAACGAGGAAUUCCUAGUAAACGCAAGUCAUCAACUUGCAUUGAUUACGUCCCUGCCCUUUGUACACACCGCCCGUCGCACCUACCGAUUGAAUGGUCCGGUGAAAUCUUCGGAUCUGAGAGAUGUCUGAUUAAUUUCGGACGCCUUUUGGAAAAGUUGCUUAAACCUUACCAUUUAGAGGAAGGUGAAGUCGUAACA